AACGAACGCUGGCGGCAUGCCUAACAUAUGCAAGUCGAACGAGACCUUCGGGUCUAGUGGCGCACGGGUGCGUAACGCGUGGGAACCUGCCCUUAGGUUCGGAAUAACUCUCCGAAAGGGGUGCUAAUACCGGAUAAUGUCUUCGGACCAAAGAUUUAUCGCCUUUGGAUGGGCCCGCGUUGGAUUAGCUAGUUGGUAGGGUAAAAGCCUACCAAGGCGACGAUCCAUAGCUGGUCUGAGAGGAUGAUCAGCUACACUGGGACUGAGACACGGCCCAGACUCCUACGGGAGGCAGCAGUGGGGAAUAUUGGACAAUGGGCGAAAGCCUGAUCCAGCAAUGCCGCGUGAGUGAUGAAGGCCUUAGGGUUGUAAAGCUCUUUUACCCGGGAUGAUAAUGACAGUACCGGGAGAAUAAGCUCCGGCUAACUCCGUG
rnacentral:rRNA from 1 species